rnacentral:lncRNA from 1 species
GAGAAGAUUCUCCGGAUAUUUCUCUCCUGGCACUGUGCACCUUGUACAGGAGGUGUCUGAGGAGGCGUGAGAAGCUGCAGACAUCCCAACAGAAAAUAAAAGAAGCUUCAGGACCCUGCAAAUGAUAAAGCUGGAGCGUUCCCCAAAUAUUCCUUGGGACUGCUGCUGCUGUUUGGCAGCACUUCCUCACUUAAGCUGACGAGUUAACUGCCUUUGCAAGAAGGGUGUUGGAGGAUUCUUCCAGGGGAUGCUUGAGAGCAGAAACCCACUACGAGGACUCCCUUCCUCUCUGUGCCAGCGUCUCAUCCCACAGCGUACAGGGAGAACGCAGAAGCUACCAGGGGUAUUUUCGGCAUUGCUCGUCUGACUUUGGAAUACAAGGAGUGUCGGCUCUGGUGUCUGCUGGCUUCAGCGAGGGCUGGUGGGCGUCCGGGCAGCCCGUUACUGUCUGGGUUCCAGACRGUCAUGAAGAUCCUGGGUAUGACCUGUGGAUGCUGUCACUGAAAAAGGGAAAACUUGGGGAGCUUUUGAAGAGCUUCCUGAUUAUAACUAAAGCUCAACCCAGAUCCUGGAGAGACCCGAGCAUCCUUGCUUGCGCGCUCUAUCGAAUUUGCUCUGCAGAAGUUCAAGGUUUAAAGGCUUAUGUGAGAGACCUGCGUGGGGACUCUGCCUUCUGCUCCCGGCUCUGCCGCUGCUUCAGCCGAAUGGUCUUGAGUAAGUGAUUUUAUUUCCCUGUACAUGAGUUUCUCAGUUUCUAAAAUAGCAAUAAUAAUGUUUUGUCUCCCUGGUCAAGUGUUUUGUUCUCAAUGGAUGGAAAGUACUAUGUUGUAAGGUCCAUAUGUUAUUGUUGUCGUUACCAUCAUUCUUCUUCAAGAGUAAAUGCUGAGGUUCUGAGUAGUAAAUAUGGAAUACCUGGACUCAAGGUUUUUGG